ensembl:snRNA U6 U6 spliceosomal RNA
GUGCUCAUUUUAGCAGCACAUAUACUAAAACUGAAAAGAUGCAGAGAAGAUUAUCAUGGCCCCUUUGCAGAGAUGACACGUACAUUUGUGAAACACCCCAUAUUUUU